GUUGAAACACCAGUUCCUGUAGGAUCACCAAAGUUAAGCAACAUCAAAUUUGGUCAGUACCUAGCUGGGUGACCACUUAGGAAUACUAGGUGCUGUAAG